UUCACUCCGUCACUCAGAGGUGCGUCUCUUGCAGAGUAAAGAAAGGAAGUGAAACAAUUCUUUACUCUGGGCACACACACUCACACACACACACAGACUCACACACACAGGUUUAUUUAUUUCAGUAUUUAUUAUUUUUAUUGGAUAUACAGUUACAGUAUAGACUUUCUGAGCAGAAACUGAGGGAACACACAGGAGGCUACCAGAUCCUCACAAGUCUACAAGAUCAUCACAAGUCUACCAGAUCAUCACAAGUCUACCAGAUCAUCACAAGUCUUCUGGAUCACCUGAGUUAAAGUGUUGUGCUGUUAUGAGACAGUGAGCGAGUGAUCAGGAACUUCAGCCUUCUCCUCCUUCAAGUCCCGACGAGUGUAAAAAAUGUUAACCUCAGACCACGAACCAAGCAACAGCACUCCGCUGACCGAAACAACGGAGUCAGUCGACGUGGAGAAAGGCUCUGAUGGUCAACACCUCGCAGCAAGAGACUACAGGAAGCUAGCUAUCUGCAGCAUCAUAUGUGGCCUGUCCUGCAUUGGCAUCGUGUCCCUCAUUUACUCAGUUAAGACUCGAGAGUUCAACAAGAAGUCCGGUGGUGCAAUAUCGCAGAAAGCCAAAGAGUAUUCUCAAAAAGCUCUAAAAUGGGGAAUAGGAGCCAUCUUGGCAUGGGCGGGUCUUAUUCUUCUCAUCCCACUGCUAUUGGGACUGCUGUCGUACCUUUUGACAUUUAUAAACUGAAACACAGGUCAUCAAAAAUGCCAAAUGGACAACAUGUGAGCCCAAAAAGGCACAACUGAGAGUCACGGAUCCCCAAAAAACAGACAGACAUAGGGCUCCAGAGCUGCCAAGCUGAGACAGAGACCCCAAAAUCUUUCAAAUCAAGGGAAAUGCAGACCUGAAAAUGUUGAACUAAGAUGCUUGGUGCCAUAAGCCCCACAACAAGAGCCAGAGGUCCAAAAAACACCAAAACAAAAAAAGCACAGAGGGGCAAGAAAAGGCCAAAAUGAAAACACAGAGUCCAAAAAGACAGAAAUAAAAAUCGGUGCGCCCAACAAGAGGUGUGAAGAGCCAGAGACGCACAACUGACAAGAAGCCUUAAAAUGGCAAACAGAGACACUGAAGUGAGAGACAUAGAGCACCAACAAGCAGAACUCGACACCAACGGCAACAAAGCGGAUGAUUCCACCACCACCAGGUCUAGUCCUUCUCGUCAGUAAUGUGUACGGCUGAAAUUUCCUUAAAAUAUAUGUUAAACAGGAAGGAAGCUAUUGAAGAAAAAUUAUUUCAGACAUGUGACCCUGUUUGGAUCAACUACAAAAUCCAAUCAGUUGGUUAAAAUGAUCAUUCCAUACAAAUCCUGCAAACAUUCGACAACUCAUUUUUGAGAUAUUGCACUAAUGGGAAUCACGGACAGAUGGAGUUUGGACACAUGGACAACACAAACACAUAAUGCCUCUACCAUAAAGUGGUGAAGGGAUAAUAAAAAUGCAGACCAUUAUGUCUUGGACCCCUAUCCCCCCACCCCAAAAAAAAAAAAAAAAUCAAGAGUGAAGGACGGCGAACCAUAACGAAGCAUGGAGACCCGAAAAACCCAAGCAGCUCCACGUAGAAGGCAACAUGCAUUUCUGGGCAGAAUUUGCACUCCUAAGAUAAAGUCUCUCUCAUUUGGACAGCAGUUGCUCAUUUUGGACAAAACAACUGACCCAAAAGCGGGACAGUUAAGAUGAAGCUUGCUUUUUUUUCCCACGGCGUCGGAAUUCUAGAGUGCGCAUUAACUUUUCUCACCUGAUGGACCAGUGAGCAUUAAUCUGUUUCAGAUCAAUAUAUACUAAUUUUACACGUUAUAUGCAUUACAGGAAGUGUCUUUAUUCAGAAUCACUGAGGGAUUGAGACCUAGUAACUUUCUAACUACUGUUAUGUAACUAUUGUUUGUUUUUGUGUUAAUCUGUUACAAGUUACAUAUAUAAAGUUUCACUCAAGCUCGUCUCAAACUGCGUACUCCUGUACCAUUCUAAAUAUAUUCACGCUGAGAAAUACGAAUUUAAAGAAGAAAAAAGUGUUUGAAUCUGAUGAUUCUCAUGUACAACCCACUUACAAGUAUGUUUACUAGUUUACUAUGUUUUCUAGUUUACAACACAGUAUACGUUUUUAAGUAUUAGGUCACGGUAUGCAGAUUGAGACUGGCCCGUGUUCUCAGUGCACACGUCAACAUUGCCAAGUCCCCCCCCAACAACAAGCACAAGAUUGCGUUACAUUUGUUAUAACACUGUAUUAUGAGCUACUGUUGUACAUUUGUAUUUUUAUACUAUGAACAUUAAAUAACAUACUUUCCAA